AACAGGGAUUUCUAUGAAAAUAAGCGAUAUUUAAGGGGAAAAACAGGGAUUUCUAUGAAAAUAAGCGAUAUUUUAGGGGAAAAACAGGGAUUUCUAUGAAAAUAAGCGAUAUUUUAGGUUAAAAACAGGGAUUUCUAUGAAAAUAAGCGAUAUUUUAGGGGAAAAACAGGGAUUUCUAUGAAAAUAAGCGAUAUUUUAGGUUAAAAACAGGGAUUUCUAUGAAAAUAAGCGAUAUUUAAGGUUAAAAACAGGGAUUUCUAUGAAAAUAAGCGAUAUUUUAGGGUUAAAAACAGGGAUUUCUAUGAAAAUAAGCGAUAUUUAAGGUUAAAAACAGGGAUUUCUAUGAAAAUAAGCGAUAUUUUAGGGUUAAAAACAGGGAUUUCUAUGAAAAUAAGCGAUAUUUAAGGUUAAAAACAGGGAUUUCUAUGAAAAUAAGCGAUAUUUUAGGGGAAAAGCAGGGAUUUCUAUGAAAAUAAGCAAUAUUUAAGGUUAAAAACAGGGAUUUCUAUGAAAAUAAGCGAUAUUUUAGGGGAAAAACAGGGAUUUCUAUGAAAAUAAGCAAUAUUUAAGGUUAAAAACAGGGAUUUCUAUGAAAAUAAGCGAUAUUUAAGGUUAAAAACAGGGAUUUCUAUGAAAAUAAGCGAUAUUUUAGGGUUAAAAACAGGGAUUUCUAUGAAAAUAAGCGAUAUUUAAGGUUAAAAACAGGGAUUUCUAUGAAAAUAAGCGAUAUUUUAGGGUUAAAAACAGGGAUUUCUAUGAAAAUAAGCGAUAUUUAAGGUUAAAAACAGGGAUUUCUAUGAAAAUAAGCGAUAUUUUAGGGGAAAAACAGGGAUUUCUAUGAAAAUAAGCGAUAUUUUAAGGGAAAAACACGGAUUUCUAUGAAAAUAAGCGAUAUUUAAGGUGAAAAACAGGGAUUUCUAUGAAAAUAAGCGAUAUUUUAGGGGAAAAACAGGGAUUUCUAUGAAAAUAAGCAAUAUUUUAAGGGAAAAACACGGAUUUCUAUGAAAAUAAGCGAUAUUUUAGGGGAAAAACAGGGAUUUCUAUGAAAAUAAGCGAUAUUUUAGGGGAAAAACUGGGAUAUCUAUGAAAAUCAGCGGUAUUUUAGGGGAAAAACAGGGAUUUCGAUGAAAAUAAGCGAUAUUUUAGGGGAACAACAUUGAUUUCCAUGAAAAUAAGCAAUAUUUUAGGGGAAAAACAGGGAUUUCUAUGAAAAUAAGCGAUAUUUAAGGGGAAAAACAGGGAUUUCUAUGAAAAUAAGCGAUAUUUAAGGUUAAAAACAGGGAUUUCUAUGAAAAUAAGCGAUAUUUUAGGGGAAAAACAGGGAUUUCUAUGAAAAUAAGCGAUAUUUAAGGUUAAAAACAGGGAUUUCUAUGAAAAUAAGCGAUAUUUAAGGGGAAAAACAGAGAUUUCUAUGAAAAUAAGCGAUAUUUUAGGGGAAAAACAGGGAUUUCUAGGAAAAUAAGCGAUAUUUAAGGUUAAAAACAGGGAUUUCUAUGAAAAUAAGCGAUAUUUUAGGGGAAAAACAGGGAUUUCUAUGAAAAUAAGCGAUAUUUAAGGUUAAAAACAGGGAUUUCUAUGAAAAUAAGCGAUAUUUAAGGUUAAAAAAAGGGAUUUCCAUGAAAAUAAGCGAUAUUUCAGGUUAAAAACAGGGAUUUCUAUGAAAAUAAGCGAUAUUUUAGGGGAAAAACAGGGAUUUCUAUGAAAAUAAGCGAUAUUUAAGGUUAAAAACAGGGAUUUCUAUGAAAAUAAGCGAUAUUUAAGGUUAAAAACAGGGAUUUCUAUGAAAAUAAGCGAUAUUUUAGGGGAAAAACAGGGAUUUCUAUGAAAAUAAGCGAUAUUUCAGGUUAAAAACAGGGAUUUCUAUGAAAAUAAGCGAUAUUUAAGGUUAAAAACAGGGAUUUCUAUGAAAAUAAGCGAUAUUUAAGGUUGAAAACAGGGAUUUCUAUGAAAAUAAGCGAUAUUUAAGGGGAAAACCAGGGAUUUCUAUGAAAAUAAGCGAUAUUUAAGGUUAAAAACAGGGAUUUCUAUGAAAAUAAGUGAUAUUUUAGGGG